CUGUUUAUGGUACAAUUUAAAAAGUAGAAAAGUUUAAGACGGUGGCUAACUCUUUUAAAAUGGGGUGAUGCCGAUGUUUUUUGUUUGGGCUUUCCCUAGAAAGGAAAACCCAUGAGUGUUUAUGAAACUCUGAUGUUUGCAUUAGCUUUUGCAACUCUUGUUUUAAAAAUCUCAUCAGACAAAAA
rnacentral:sRNA from 1 species